rnacentral:rRNA from 1 species
GACGAACGCUGGCGGCGUGCCUAAUACAUGCAAGUUGAGCGCUGAAGGUUGGUACUUGUACCAACUGGAUGAGCAGCGAACGGGUGAGUAACGCGUGGGGAAUCUGCCUUUGAGCGGGGGACAACAUUUGGAAACGAAUGCUAAUACCGCAUAAAAACUUUAAACACAAGUUUUAAGUUUGAAAGAUGCAAUUGCAUCACUCAAAGAUGAUCCCGCGUUGUAUUAGCUAGUUGGUGAGGUAAAGGCUCACCAAGGCGAUGAUACAUAGCCGACCUGAGAGGGUGAUCGGCCACAUUGGGACUGAGACACGGCACAAACGCCUACGGGAGGCAGCAGUAGGGAAUCUUCGGCAAUGGACGAAAGUCUGACCGAGCAACGCCGCGUGAGUGAGGAAGGUUUUCGGAUCGUAAAACUCUGUUGGUAGAGAAGAACGUUGGUGAGAGUGGAAAGCUCAUCAAGUGACGGUAACUACUCAGAAAGGGACGGCUAACUACGUG